rnacentral:rRNA from 1 species
GAUGAACGCUAGCUACAGGCUUAACACAUGCAAGUCGAGGGGCAGCGGGAUUGAAGCUUGCUUCAAUUGCCGGCGACCGGCGCACGGGUGAGUAACGCGUAUCCAACCUUCCGUACACUCAGGGAUAGCCUUUCGAAAGAAAGAUUAAUACCUGAUGGUAUGAUGAGAUUGCAUGAUAUCAUCAUUAAAGAUUUAUCGGUGUACGAUGGGGAUGCGUUCCAUUAGGUAGUAGGCGGGGUAACGGCCCACCUAGCCAACGAUGGAUAGGGGUUCUGAGAGGAAGGUCCCCCACAUUGGAACUGAGACACGGUCCAAACUCCUUCGGGAGGCAGCAGUGAGGAAUAUUGGUCAAUGGACGAGAGUCUGAACCAGCCAAGUAGCGUGAAGGAUGAAGGUCCUACGGAUUGUAAACUUCUUUUAUAAGGGAAUAAACCCUCCCACGUGUGGGAGCUUGUAUGUACCUUAUGAAUAAGCAUCGGCUAACUCCGUG